rnacentral:lncRNA from 10 species
CUACUUGGGCAGGGUUGGAGAAAUGCAAGACUUCAGUGCAGUACAGGAAAGAAGAAUCAAAUAAAGCUGCUUCAAAAUUCACUUACUCAUUCAACAAAAUCUUGAUUGAGCAGUUGCUACGUAUCUGACAUAGUUCUACACACUCUAUCCGUGAGGAUAGAUAGUGAGCAAACCAAUGAAAAAGGAACAACAGUAAAUAAACAGAUAAGGAAGCUGAGAUGUAGAGCUGAAGUGUCUUGCCCAAGAUCAUUUGUCUACCUAUGACCUGGCUCAACCCAGCUACAAGUUGUUAAUAAGAGGGAAGCAUAUCAGGAAAAUCUGAGUGCAAUGGUUUAGGAAUUGGGAAAGUAUAAAAGGUAUAGCACAACAGCACUAGACAACUGAGGUAGUCACCUACCUAAGGAGAGAUGCCAAGGACAAGUUGGCCAGCUAAACACUUUCUCCAGAAAUGGGAUUUAUAGUUUUGCUAAUUUCUUUAAUAUCAGAAGACAGCUGGAUUCUCAUUUCUGCUUCUGCAUUCAGUCUAUUGUGAUAUAGCAUAUCAUGUAACUUCUGAAAAACUUCACUGUACACAGAUGCUGACCUCACAGACUCCCUGAAAGGAUCUCCAUGACCUCUAUGGUUCCUUAGACUGCACUUUGAGAACUAUUGACGUACAGGGAAAAAUGCUCUUGGUGUUCCAGUUAAGCACAGAAUAAAAUCUGGACUGUGUCAGUUUGUAAAGAUCUUAUGUCUACUUGGUCAUCAGCCAAGAAGGGAUUCCGAAGAUAGAAGAGGAGGCAUCAACACCGUGAACAUCAUGGCUGAGUUAUUUUGUGAGAGGGAUAAGCCUAAAGUAAAAACCUUGGAUUUGCCUCUGUCCUUGAACAUGCUAUCUGGAAAGAGUUUUCUUAAAAGUAUUGUUGUGAACACAUCCAUUUUCCCAGUAUAGUUGAAUGCAGGGUUUAAUAAAUGGAAUGAAUCU